CUUGGCUGCUCAGUGUCCACAUUCUGGUUGUGAUUUGGACUAUAGUUUCUCAAGAUGACAUCUGGGGAAACUGAGUAAGGUCUCUGUAAUAUUGCUUACAACUACACAUGAAUCUGCAAUCAUCUCAAAAUUAAAACUUUAAUUUAAAAAAAAUUGUUGCUAUUUAUUUGGGUCUGAAGCUCAUAAAAUAGCAACUUAUGUUUACUGAUGGCUCAGAUCACUCUAGUUUAUCUGUUUAGCUCGUUUACUCUUGUGUGGUACCAAUUGGCCUAUUUUACAGAUGAUAAAACUGAGCACUGGAAAUAUUAAGACCACAAAAAUGGUGUGUUGCAUUGCUGGGGUUUGGAGCCCCACGGUCCGCUCAGGCGAAACCAGAUCCAGUGAGAGAUGAACGUGACUGAGAAGAGCAGGAGCCUAGCAGCCUAGGAAUGGCCUGUCCUGACACUCUUUUGGAGAGCGUGGGCACAAGAAGUCAGCUGUUCCCCACAAAAGAGAAGAACCAGCCUGGGUGACCGAGGAUAUGGCACAAACCUGCCCACCAGGAAAUUCCAAGUUGCCGUUAGUUGGCCCUGCCUUCCAACAGGAGCAUGAGCAGAAAGGCCUUCUUGUACCUGAUCCACACAUCAGACUUCCAGCAUCAUACCCAUCUCCCCGUCUGACUGCCCAGACUCUGUGUACCACCUAAGACAAAUUCAAAAUCUGUCCUUGAAUUUGUCCCCAGUGAUAGCCCCAUGCCUAAACUUUGUUUUGUAUACUCCCUCUUUCUUACUCUUCUCUAAAUGUUCCAAAUGUAUAUAUCUUUUCGACUAAUUCGCACAUUUCUUAAAGGCAAGUAAUUCUUACCGUUUUCUAAAACCCUGCAGUGGUUAUCACAGAGCUGGCCACAUGGUAGAAACAAUACUCAACACACUUAUUUAUUGAUAGAUCCCAUAGCAAUCUUUUGGUAUAAUAUCUAUAAUUCAUAUUAAAACAGUUUAGCAUAAACUCUAUGAUAUUAUGCAAUUUCUGGUUAGUUCAAGCUUUAACUCUAGAAAUGUCAGUUGCCAUUUUUGAGAAUCCACAUUCCAGAAAUAUUUGAUUGAUAUCCAAGCGUUGAUAGCCUGUGGUUCCGACACCCAAAUCUUGAGCAAUACCCAAGGCUUUAUUAACAAGUAUAGUGAAUGUCUGAAAAGGGUAUUGAUUAGUAAAAUUUGUUGCUAAUAAAUUAACAUAAUGAAUAUUAGCAUGGGCCUCAAUGAUAAAAAAUAAAGGUGUUCAAGAAGUAUGAGUUGGCCUAAACAUUUUGAAGACACGCCCAACCCUGAACAGAGUCUAUAAACCUGGAGGUAUCCGUGGCCUGGACUCUGCAGGAUGGUGCUCAAGCUUGAUGCAUGAACAGCCCCGUGUCCAGCCACGGCUGUAGGAGCAUCCCGUGCCCGAGGCUGACCUGCAUCAGUACCAGGGCCUGCGUCAGAGCGUUGUGUGUGUGCCUUGGGACCCUUUCACACAAGGUGGGGGCAGAACAUCUAAAAUUUAGGGAGCUGGGACAUCUGCAAACUUACAAAACAGAUCAGAUGUGCUAUUUUG
rnacentral:lncRNA from 1 species